rnacentral:lncRNA from 1 species
GAAGAGAGGAGGACACAACAAACAUUAUUCUUCCUUGUGCUCGCUUAGCAGGCCUACCUGGCACUUCCUGGGAACACAACCAGUGGAGCAAGGAACUAUCCUGGCAGAAAAUGCAACUUGUACCCCAUGACGACUGCUCCAUGGCGCUGCUGUGAGGGAAUUACAGAGCGAGGACACGGCAGUGGAACCACCCUGGGGUCAGACAGAACAGCAGAGCCCUGCUGGCAGCUUGGCACCAGAUCAGAUCCCAAGCACAGCCAAAACAAGUAUUGCCAAGUUAGCUGUCCCCACAGGGGACAGGGAGCAGGUCACAUGGGGACUGUCAGACAAGAAGAGUUUAGAAAAUGCAGCAUGUAAAGAACAAGCCCCAUUUCCUGCACCAGGUGAAGCUGUUCCUAGUAGUGGUCUCUGACUCCAUUCUGUGACAUGGGGACAUGUUUUCACUGGGGAUGUGGACAGGAACUGCCACCAGCAGCUCAGAGCUGCUGUGCAAACAGGUAAUCUCUGGUGGAAGAAAACCCAACCAUCACCAAAUAAUUAAUCUUGCAUUCCACUUGAGAUCUCUCCCACACAAAAGGGAGAAGGAUGUGUCAUGAUUCAGAUCACUGCCAAAAUAGCACGGCGUGGCAUUUUGCAGUUUAAUUGUUUCAACAGAUCAUUUAUUUUUUCUGCAAGAGUGAGCUUGGUUUGAGCUCUCAUCCUUGAAAUACCAGGGAAAACUUCAUGGAACACAGUUUACUUUUCCUGAGUGACUAACCAGACCCCUGUGGGAAGUACAGCAAACUUCACACUCCUAGCAGGAACUGAUGCUCAGGAAGUUCCACUGAACAUGAGGAAGAACCUCUUUACUGUGCAGUGACCAAGCACUGAACAGGCUGCCCACAGAGGGUGAGUGUCCCUCAAUGGAGAUAUUCCAGAACCAUCUGGACACAAUCCUGUGCCAUGGCAUGGCUCUGCUUGACCAGAGAGGUUGGACGGGAUGAUCCCCCUGUGGUCCAUUCACUGACCCAUUUUGUGAUUCUGUGAACUUAGUAAUUUCUUCAGUUAAUGUUCUUUUUAAUUUUUUUUUUCCCCUAGAAAUGCCAGAACUGGCUUCUUGUAUUACUAGUUUCAGUUCAGCACUUAAAUAUUAGGGACUUGGUGAGU